rnacentral:rRNA from 1 species
AUGUGCUUUCUUGGUAUCCUAAAUAUAAGAUUAAUACUUCAAGUUGCUGAGUUGAGAAAGAGAUGGUUGAAUCAAAAGAAUUCCUUUUUUGAAGUUCAGUUUUUAUCAGAGGACAAUAUGAAUAUUAUACCUUGUUCCAUUAAAACACUCAAGGGGUUAUACGAUAUAUCGGGUGUAGAAGUAGGCCAACACUUCUAUUGGCAAAUAGGAGGUUUCCAAAUUCAUGCCCAAGUACUCAUCACUUCUUGGGUCGUAAUUACUAUCUUGCUAGGUUCAGUUGUCAUAGCUGUUCGGAAUCCACAAACCAUCCCGACCGACGGUCAGAAUUUUUUUGAAUAUGUCCUUGAGUUUAUUCGAGACUUGAGCAAAACUCAGAUUGGAGAAGAAUAUGGUCCCUGGGUUCCCUUUAUUGGAACUAUGUUCCUUUUUAUUUUUGUUUCGAAUUGGUCGGGUGCUCUUUUACCUUGGAAAAUUAUAGAGUUACCCCAUGGGGAAUUAGCAGCGCCCACGAAUGAUAUAAAUACUACUGUUGCUUUAGCUUUACUCACGUCAGCGGCAUAUUUUUAUGCUGGUCUUAGCAAAAAAGGAUUGAGCUAUUUCGAGAAAUAUAUUAAACCAACUCCAAUCCUUUUACCAAUUAACAUCCGCCAAUAUAUUCCCGAAAAGUCGAAAGCUAAGUGA